rnacentral:rRNA from 1 species
UACGAAGGGGGCUAGCGUUGCUCGGAAUCACUGGGCGUAAAGGGUGCGUAGGCGGGUCUUUAAGUCAGGGGUGAAAUCCUGGAGCUCAACUCCAGAACUGCCUUUGAUACUGAGGAUCUUGAGUUCGGGAGAGGUGAGUGGAACUGCGAGUGUAGAGGUGAAAUUCGUAGAUAUUCGCAAGAACACCAGUGGCGAAGGCGGCUCACUGGCCCGAUACUGACGCUGAUGCGCGAAAGCCAGGGGAGCAAACGGG